AAAAAGGGUGCUCGUCUUCGCGCGUUCGAUCGCUGAACAAAAGUGCAGACGCAUUGCGCCGCAGGACCAUCUCAUUUUUUGGUGUGCGUCUAAUUGCCGCCUUCGAUGGUUCCUUGCGUGCCCAGUGGGGUAUGGCUUUGCAUAUCCAGUGCAUAAUUUUUGUAAUGGGGCUGGCGGCUGCACCUCGAACCGUUCGCACUG
rnacentral:snRNA from 12 species